rnacentral:rRNA from 1 species
GAUGAACGCUGGCGGCGUGCCUAAUACAUGCAAGUCGAGCGAACGGACGAGAAGCUUGCUUCUCUGAUGUUAGCGGCGGACGGGUGAGUAACACGUGGAUAACCUACCUAUAAGACUGGGAUAACUUCGGGAAACCGGAGCUAAUACCGGAUAAUAUUUUGAACCGCAUGGUUCAAAAGUGAAAGACGGUCUUGCUGUCACUUAUAGAUGGAUCCGCGCUGCAUUAGCUAGUUGGUAAGGUAACGGCUUACCAAGGCAACGAUGCAUAGCCGACCUGAGAGAGUGAUCGGCCACACUGGAACUGAGACACGGUCCAGACUCCUACGGGAGGCAGCAGUAGGGAAUCUUCCGCAAUGGGCGAAAGCCUGACGGAGCAACGCCGCGUGAGUGAUGAAGGUCUUCGGAUCGUAAAACUCCGUUAUUAGGGAAGAACAUAUGUGUAAGUAACUGUGCACAUCUUGACGGUACCUAAUCAGAAAGCCACGGCUAACUACGUG